GUUUUGCUUAUUAAAAAAUGAAAAGAGGAGAGCAAGAUGAAAGAAAAAGAGAAAUUCCAAGGGGAAAAUCAAUGGAAUGGGAAGACUGCUUAUGCUACAGGAGAUUAUUUCAUGCAUAGAUACAUUUCACCAGUUGGACUGCAUGGGGUGAUUCACAGUGACAGCAUACUGCUGUUACGGACACCUCGAAGAGAGAGGUCUGAUGCAUUCGCACUCUGAUGAGCCAUAAGGGGAUACUGUGGCAGAUGAUGGCACAUCUCCCCAGAAGCCUUUGGCCUGAAUUUAGCGGGAUACGCCAAGUCUCAAGGUCUGUAUCUUCUGUGUUCUCAAUUCUCAAACUGAAGAGUUUGAUCAAACUCUCACUGGAAUCUAAAGCAUAUGGAAUAAUGCCUGAAGAUGGAGCUGUUUACAAACUUCUGCGGGAUAAAAGGGAACCUAUUUGCAACACAGACUUCAUAGAAACAAGCAUUGUAGUUACUUUUAUCAGAGUUUGCCCUUCCAGAUUAAUGGUGUUGAACUUCUCAUGCUGACCAGAGGGAGCCCAGGAAGAGAUGAAAAGCACACAAUCUACAGAGCAAUAGAGCCUCUCCCACAUGUUCUUGUACAACUUAUAAAAUAUAGGUAUGAUUACUGCCCUUUAUUCAAAGAAACUUAACAGUUGCCUCAUUUCUUUUGGGAACACCACUCUUCCCAAAAGGCCCUAGGAUAAAGUGGAGUCAUGGCUGUCUACUUAUCUCCAAAAUGGCCUUAAGAGACAAAUAUUUUGUAAUAAAAACCAUCUGAAAUUAGCUAUAAAUAAUAAGAUCCAGCAAAAGCUGUCUAUACUCUCAUGCACUGGUAUUCUGAUAAUGUAGAAGUAAAUGAGAAAUUCGUAAGUGAUAUAAGUGGGCUAUAGCUCCAGGUAGUCAACUUCCACUUGCAAUGAAACUGCAAAAGGAAAAGAAACUAAUGAUAAGUUAGUGCUGUGCUCCUGGCAGGUACUACAGCUGAGAUAAUGUCAUUAUGGGUGUUCUGUUUCACUUGAGGUCAGCUUUUUUAAUUUAUAGAUGUCUUACAUCAAAAUGAGAAAUAAUGGUUUUGCCACUGGCUUUUGUUUUCAUAGUUAACCACCUCAAGGUACAUUUACCUUCACCUUUCUAUCCAUAUAUAACUCUCUGGAUCCAGAGAGUUUAUUUUUUAUGAUUAUUUUACCUAAUUUAAAAGGUGAUGAACUAUUAGGAAUGUUUUCAAAAAGUGUUGUAAAAGUAGUGCUGUCAGUGCCAUGUUAUUGCAUGCUAAAUUUUAACAUGAUGUCAGUGAUUGCAGAAACAUCUGAAACACAACUGAAGAGGUGGCUUGGGACACUUACUUUCAUUUUACGGACAACACUCAGAAAUAAUCUUUCAGCUUAUUCUACAGUUACUCCCAAGCAGAACAGAAAUUUUUGUACCUAAGCUCCAUGUCUGUAAAAACUGAACAAGAUAGCCAUGAUCCUAAUACUUCUAAAAUGCUUUUGAGACCAAACAUUGCAUAUGGGAUGAAAAGGAAUGUAACCCUUAUUAUUGCUGCAGAGUCCAGUUUCUUGAUUUUCUGACAGAUUAUUAUAAUCAUUAAUGAUCUAAGUAACUCAUUUUGUUAGAAGUUAUAGAGGAUAACUCCCCAAAAUGAUCAGGUCUUCAUCUCUUUUCUCUAUUUUAUAAAUUCAUUUACUCACUCAUUUGUAUCAGCAUAGAUUACAGCAAACACAGCUUACAAGAACACUCUAACGGGGCAGAAUUUUCUAUCCUUUUCUCUCAUGGGCCACUGAAGAAUCAGCUUUUCAGUCAUAACAGAUUGAAACUGCACGCCUAUGAGCCCAGAAGACCUUUGAAACCAUAUGAAUUAAGAAUCCAAAGCACAACUGAAGAAGAAAUGAACUUAAAUCAAGGCACCUAAAUGACCUGGACGUUUCUAAAACCUUUAUGCAAACCUUUAUACAUAUAUACAACCAGUCAGUUGCUAAGAAUCUCUGCAAGAAUACCAUGCAAUAGAAAGGUUUUUCAUUUUUUUUUUCCAUUUUCUUUUUCCCCUCACUCAAAACCAAAUAAAAAACCCAUUCACUUAAGAAGCGAUUGUCUGUAGACCUUUGAAGCCAAGGCGGGUGACAGCAAGGGCAAGAGGCUUAUUUCAAGGGUCACAUUUCAUUUGCAUAAGCAAGUAACCAUAGGGCACUGUGGAAUGUCUGUAAAUGGAUUUCAUUACAGAAAUUCAGCUUAAAGGGACUAUAAAUAAUCCUCUGACAAACAUUGUAUAUUGCUUCAAGUUCUUCUGUAAUAAAAAUAUUUUAGUAACACAACAAUCCGUGAAAGCAGGAAAUGAAACAGGAGGAGCUGCUCAUCUUCUCCUUUUCUCUCUCA
rnacentral:lncRNA from 1 species